CACGUAGGGGGCAAGCGUUGUCCGGAUUUAUUGGGCGUAAAGAGCUCGUAGGUGGCUGAGUAGGUCGGGUGUCAAAUCCCCAGGCUCAACCUGGGACACCACCCGAUACUGCUCUGGCUAGAGUCCGGUAGGGGAGCGUGGAAUUCCUGGUGUAGCGGUGAAAUGCGCAGAUAUCAGGAGGAACACCAGCGGCGAAGGCGGCGCUCUGGGCCGGUACUGACACUGAGGAGCGAAAGCGUGGGUAGCAAACAGG
rnacentral:rRNA from 1 species